rnacentral:rRNA from 1 species
UACGAAGGGGGCUAGCGUUGUUCGGAAUCACUGGGCGUAAAGCGCACGUAGGCGGCUCUUUAAGUCAGAGGUGAAAUCCCAAGGCUCAACCUUGGAACUGCCUUUGAUACUGGGGAGCUUGAGUCCGGGAGAGGUGAGUGGAACUGCGAGUGUAGAGGUGAAAUUCGUAGAUAUUCGCAAGAACACCAGUGGCGAAGGCGGCUCACUGGCCCGGUACUGACGCUGAGGUGCGAAAGCGUGGGGAGCAAACAGG